CCGAGUACCGAUCGACGAAUUAAUCAAGCCUAACCUAAGCUCGUCGUUCAUUUCGUUGACUCGUUCAAACCUCCAUUAAGGUAACUUGUUGGGCGAAUUUACGACUUGGCAGACGUCUAUCUGUAUGAACCUGAUCGAUAAGUGCUAGACGUAAAAGGGAAGAGAAAGUUCAGACGAUUUGAAUGUGCCAAGCUACAACAAUGCCCACGAUAAAUGGAGAAUAUUGUUCGAGUAUUAGCGUGCCUUUGUGGCCGAGUUAUUGAGACGUUAGAAGGAAGUACUUUAUAAAAUUGGACUGUUUAAUCCGAGGAGCGAGAGUGAGGUGUUAAAUCCGUUAAGUAGUCUUGAUCUUGAUCUUUCUGCGACUGUAACAGUGCCAAUUGUUCGUUUUACAGACAAUCAACGAUAUUCUCUAAGGUUCGAAAUUUCGAUGAUGGGAAGAGAAGCUAAAUUUUCGAUCAAACUGAGAUCCAAGAUACAACCAAAUUUAACCAAGAUGAAACCGAACAUUUAACGUUUGAAAAAAUCGCGCUGGUUUUCUCUAUAGUUAUGAUAAUCGUAUGUUCUUUAUCGUAAAAGAUAGUUAUUUUAUUCCGCCGAAUCUAUUUUAAAUAUACACUUAGGAUUUAUUCCAACGCGAUGAUUCACGCUAUACUAGAAGCUUAGGUCCAGUCAAGCAAUACACUGUAUCGUAAAACAAAGAGAAAUAUAAAAAAUAUCAAGAACCUUUAUGUCCACGAGAA